rnacentral:rRNA from 1 species
GUAAAAGCUUUUAGUGGAUACCUAGGCACCCAGAGACGACGAAGGGCAUAUCGGUAAAGGACGAAAUGCUUUGGGGAGUUUAAACUAAGCAUUGAUCUGUAGAUUCCCGAAUAGGAAAUUUUUUUUAACUAUAUGCUGAAUUAAUGGGCAUAAAAGAGAUAACUUAGCGAACUGAAACAUCUUAGUAGCUGAAGGAAAAUAAAGCAAUAAGCGAUUUCCGAAGUAGUGGUGAGCGAAAUGGAAGUAGCCUAAACUGUCAAAGGGGUUGUGGGGGAGCAACUAAAAAAUUUAAAUAUUUAAGUUAAGUAGCGGAGUACUGUACCAUAGAUUGUGAGAGUCUUGUAGAAUAAUAUCUAAUUAACUUAAGCUCUAACCCAAGUAGCAUAGGAUAAGUUAAAAUACCGUGCGAAUCCACAAGGAAUCACCUUGCAAGGCUAAAUACUCUUUGGGUGACCAAUAGCAAAGUAAGUACCGUGAGAGAAAUGUGAAAAGAGCCCUCUUUUAGGGGAGUAAAAUAUAGUAUGAAAUUGCAAGCUUUCAAGCAGUGCGAGGAAUCUAUUAGAUUUGAUCACGUGCCUUUUGAAGAAUGAGCCAAUGACUCAUAUGCAGUGGUUUGGUUAAGGUAAAAUAACUAUAUCCGUAGUAAAAUCAAGUCUUAAAAAGGCAAUAAUUGCCAUUAUUUAUGGACCCGAACCUGGGUGAUCUAUCUAUGACUAGGAUAAAUUGUCAUUAUUUAUGGACCCGAACUGAUGUUGAAAAAUGCCCUGAAAACCUAAGGGUUCCUCCAUAAAGGUCGUAUAGAUAGGGUUAGUCAGGGCCUAAGAUCAUGUCAAAAGGCGCAAUCGAUGGCUAACAUGUAAAUAUUCAUGUAUUAUCCUUUUUGUUUUAUUGAGAGACGGAGGAGGCUAGGUUAUCCAAAAAUUAUGGUUAUUGGUUUAAAGGGUAAGGAUAAAUUCAUUAAAUAUGGGUCAUAAGGGGUAGAGUAAAUAUCUGGAGCUAAUACCUGAAUAAUAAGUGCUUUUGUUCUUAAGGCUUAAGUAACUAAUGUCAUACUCCCAAAAAAAGCUCUAAAUAUCUUAAACAAGAAAGGAACCUGUACCCAAAAUCAACACAGGUAGGUAUGUUGAGAAUACCUAAGGGUGCGAGACAAUUCUUUCUAAGGAACUCCGCAAAAUAGCCCCGUAACUUCGGGAUAUGGGGUGCCUCUUAAAUAGAAGAGGUCGCAGCGGCCAGGCCCGGGCGACUGUUUACCAAAAACACAGGUCUCCGCAAAGUCGUAAAGACCAUGUAUGGGGGCUGACAUCUUCCCAGUGCCGGAAGGUUAAAGAAGUUAGUGGUCGUGAUUUACAACAGAGUAGCUGGCAACCUAAGCCCCAGUGAAUGGCGGUCGUAACUAUAACGGUCCUAAGGUAGCGAAAUUCUUUAUCAAGUAAGUUCCGACCCACACGAAUGGCAUAACGAUCUGGGCGCUAUCUUGGAGAGGGACUCGGUGAAAUAGACCUGUCUGUGAAGAUGUAGACUACCUAUACCUAGAUAGAAAGACCCUAUGAAGCUUUACUGUUCCAUAGGAUUAGUUUUAAGAUUUUCUUGUGUAGAUUAAGUUGAAGGCGACAAAAAUACUUCUUAUGGGAAGGAUUGAGCAAUUAUUGAGAUACCACUCUGGAAGAGCUAGAUUCCUAAUCUUAUGUCAUAAAUUAUGGCCGAGGGACAUUCUCAGGUAGACAGUUUAUAUGGGGCAUAGGCCUCCUAAAAUGUAACGGAGGCACGCAAAGGUUUCUUUGAGCCAUACGAGAAUUUGCUUUAUACGUGUAAGGGCAUAAAGAAGCUUCACUGCAAGACCCACUUGUCAAGUAGGGAUGAAAGUCAGCCUUAGUGAUCCAACAAUGCUGAGUGGUAGGGCUGUCGCUCGACGGAUAAAAGUUAUUCUAGGGAUAACAGGCUGAUCUUCCCCAAGAGUUCACAUCGACGGGAAGGUUUGGCACCUCGAUGUCGGCUCGUCGCCACUUGGGGCUGUAGUAGGUUUCAAGAGUUGGGUUGUUCGCCCAUUAAAGUGGUACAUGAGCUGGGUUCAGAAUGUCGUGAGACAGUUCGGUCCAUAUCCGGUAUAGACAUUAGAGCAUUGAGAGGACUUUUCCCUAGUACGAGAGGACCAGGAAGGACGCACCUCUGGUGUACCAGCUAUUGUGCCAUCAAUAAAUGCUGGGUAGUCAAGUGCAGAGUGGAUAACUGCUGAAAGCAUCUAAGUAGGAAGCCCACCACAGGAUGAUUGCUUUCUUAUUUUGUCUUUUGCUUACUUUACUUUAAUAACUUAAUUAACAAUUUAAGCCCAAUAUAAGGUCACGACGAGAUUAGCAUUUUUAUUAGUAGUUAUAUUAAUAGGUGUUAAGGUGUAAGUGCAAUGAUGCAUGUAGCCGAAGCAUCCUAAAAAAUAAAGUUAAAAAA